GUGUGGGGACCUUCAGUUGUGAAUAUUGCGGAGUAAGCAGUCUGGCAGCGCCGAAGACGAAGGGGGGAGGGAGGGAGGUGGGGGGACUAGGGACGGGAAGGGGGAGGAAAUUGGCCCGGGGCUAGCAGCCAUCAGAAUUAGCUCAUUGUUAAGAAUACAGUUCGGCACAGACACGGCCAGUCGGCUGGAGGCAGCCUUGGAGUGGGACUCAUCCCCCAAGGCUGCGUGCACUCAUAGAGUGUACAGUUUUUUUUCAUUGUUGAAAAGGUAGCAGCGCAUUUUGUUAACUUUGAGUCAGAUGAGGGAGAAGGCUGCAAGGCGCGGACGGGAGCUUUUUGUCUGGCUCGACCCUCCCGUGGAACAGAGACAGACACUGCGGUCGGUCCCAGUGCUGCUUCUCCACAGUCAUGAUACCAGCACCUGUUUUGAACUGAACUGAAACCAGCAUUCAUAAUGGAGGAUUCCCAGAGAGACAUCUUCAGGUUUCCUUCGCUGGUCAAAGCAAAGAGAAACAACGAUGCAAAACCAACAUUCCUUUCACCUGAUGUCGGAUAAACAUAACUGCAACCAAAUCAACAAAUGGAAAAGAAACAAGUAUCUUCUGUAUAUUUUAAUUCCCUGAAUCAUGUAUCUUCUACUCUGAUAGAUAUUGAUCUGUGGAUUUAGUUAAGAUAAUGACACAUAUGGGGUCUUCUUCUUCUUGUCUGUUAAUGUAAUUGAUAACCUGUAGGUAUACUUGGGACUCUAAGCCUUGAUGAUGCGUAUUUUUUGGGAUAACCAUUAAAUGACAUAAAGCAGCUCAAGACAGACCCAGCAGACUUGAGUUACAGCAGUGACUGUACCACUUGUCCGUGUUUACAAACUCCACAGGUGGCCUCCCAGGCCUAAAACCUUGCAGCAGCAUGUCUUCCACUUGUCCACUGUACACAACCAAAUGGCUGGUUCCUUCUCUUUCCAUUUACACACACUCUUGACAGGAUUUUACUGAGGCUGAGAGUCCCCAUUAUCCAGUUUAAUAACUAAACGCUUGGUAGAUUUCAUUCAGUUCUUUUUGUUCUUGUUAGUGUUCUUGCUUUUUUAUUUUUAUUUUGCUUGUAUAAAUUCAUAUGGUAGACAUGUAUGUUGUGAUGUAUAGAAAUAGCUGUAGAAAUGCAUUGUUUCCUUGUGGUAAGUGACUGAGAUGCUGCCACGGAUUUGAGACACUGAUAAAUGGUGCUAUUUUGGAAUUUUAUCUGCUCCUUGGUAAGGUAGCUCAGAUGGGUUUUAUUUACAUUUUUCAUGUUCUAAGAAGGUAUUGGUUCUUUGUUGUCUGGUUGUUGUAACUUGGUCUGGAUUGACUUAUUUUUCUGCCGUUUUCUGUGUGGCUUUCUUAUUGGGUGUAAGAUAAUAAUUAAAUAAAAAUGCAAAAGGCAGAUGGCUCUUAAGAAUAAUGAAUUUCAUGCAAGGUUAUUCCUGAAGUACAUAGGGGCGGGAGCAAUCACAAAACUGCAAUCUUUAGUAUUUUCCCUUUAAUGCCAAGAUGUGCAAUUAAGUGUAUCAGAUGAAAUCCCCAGCACUAAGACACUUUUAAAAAGAUAGCAUUUGUCAGUAUCUGACAGUGCAUGUGGCCAUGAGUGAGUUUUCCCUUUUAACAUUUACAAAUAAAUCAUGAGACAAUAUUAACAUUCACUAGUAAAGAUUCAGCCAAAGGGCCAUAGAACUGGACAUUGGAAGCAGUCACAAGGAAACAUUGGAAAGACACCACCAUGAUCUGCAGCCAGUCUCAUUUAAUUUGUGCCGUAUGUGCAAUGUGCAUUGUUUCUUUAGGCAUGCUAAAAAGCAGUCCUGAAAUUAAUCAAUUUCUCUGAAGUUGAAAGCAAAAAAAAAAAAAA